GUGCUCACUUCGGCAGCACAUAUACUAAAAUUGGAAUGAUACAGAGAAGAUUAGAGUGGCCCCUGCACAAGGCUGACACGCAAAUUCAUGAAACAGUCCAUAUUUUU
rnacentral:snRNA from 1 species